CAGAAGGUCAGAGAAGGGAGGGCAGAGCACGGAGACCGGGGCGGAAAGGAGGCGUGGCCAGAGAAGGAGGCGGGCCUCAGAGAGGUGGUCCCCAGGAGGAAGUGGGCGUGGCCGUGCCUUGGGAACCGUGGGUGGGUGGCUAGGAUGUAAACAAAAGCCUCCCUCCCGUGCUUUAAGAGAGCGUUCAGGGACGAAAGAAUCAUAACAAAGACAGGAAGCCAAGUAGUGAACAAACAGAAUUCAAAAAGUGCCUAAUGGACUCCAGGCCUGGGCCAGAAGCAGAGCCCGAGGGAGUCUUGGACAUCCCUCCCGGGAAGUGGCAGUAACAAAAGAAGUGGCCCGGGGCUCUUGGGGAGGUGGCAGAUGGACCCAUACCGGAAGGUGACUCUGAGGCCCCAUGAGACCCGGAGUCUGAAGGCCAGGCAGGGAGAGGUGACAAGGGGAGACGAUGGCGCUGCUGUGGGGAUGAGUCACGUUGUCGCCUGCCCCAGUGACGGAGUCAGCACAUCGUCAGAGGAAAGUGAGCUGCAUGCCUUCCUAGGGCCCGAGAAGUAAAUACAUGCACAGACACACAGAAGCACCCGGGAGAUCGGAACAGGAAGUGGAUUCCGUGGGAGGCAGAGCUAAAGGUCCCUGUGAGCAGUCUCGAAGCAUCCCCAGGCCCAGGUGGGCUGAGGAUGCAGAAGUGGGGAUCCUGAGUCCCCACCACGCGGCAGCACCCAGUGGCUUAUGGGAAAGGAAACAUCAGACAGAAUUGUGAUGGAACUCUGUCACCAUCUAGAUGAGUACUCUAGUAUUUAUGCUUGCCUCUGUUGGGGAAGUCUCAGUCUUAGGAUCUGUUACAGGUUGGUCCAGCACCUACAGAGUAUUAAAAUAUUAAAUGGUCAGCUGAGGAAAUGGCUCAGGGGGUAAAGGCUGAUGACCUGAGUUCAAUCCCUGGAACUCACAUACAGUACUAACUCCUGAAAGUUUUACUGCACAGGCACGUGCGCACAUAUACACACAUACAAAGUUUAAAGCUAAGGUGGCAAUUUUGGUUUUUUAGACAGGGUUUCUCUGUGUAGCUUUGGAGCCUAUCCUGGCACUGGUUCUGUAGAUCAGGCUGGCCUUGAACUCACAGAGAUCUGCCUGCCUCUGCCUCCCAAGUGCUGGGAUUAAAGGUGUGCCCCACCAAUGCCUGGCAGGUGGCAAUUUUUAAUAAGAUGGCAACCAAAAAAUUUUUAAUGGCGUUUCUUUUUUAAUCUUUAUUUUAUAUGCAUUGGUGUUUUGCCUGCAUGUGUGUCUGUAUGAGGGUGUCAGAAGUUCUGGAACUGGAGAGACAGACAGUUGGGAGCCACCAUGUAAGAGCAGCGGCCAAUGCUCUUAACCACUGAGCCAACUCCCCAACCCCUCCUAGGUUGCAUUUCUUUGUGUAUUUUUGUGUGUGUGUGUACCCAAUACCUUAGUGUUCUGAUGGACAUCAGAGGACAACUUUGGGGACCCAGUUGUCUCCUUCAUCUUAAGAGUUCCAGGGAUCAAAAGGUUAUUAGGCUUGGUAGCACUUGCCUUCCACCUGCCUUCAACCUGCUGCUGAGCCAUCCUGCUGGCUUAUGAAACAACAAACUUUGUCUUCUAUGCAUUUUACCACAUUACAGAAUAAAUAAAAUUUCAAGUUAAUGAGCCCAUUCUCAUUUGUUCCUUUGCACCAUGUAUGUUUCUAAAUUAGAUGACAUUUUAGUUUUUGCUUCUAACUAUUGCAUAGUAGUAUGCGGUUUUCCAUAAAAUUCCAGACCCUGCUUUCUCAGAGACCAAAAGAUGGAGUAAGGAGAUACUCUGAGUGAGUUGAGAGGUAGGGUG
rnacentral:lncRNA from 1 species